rnacentral:lncRNA from 1 species
GACGAGAGAGAGAGAGAGAGAGAGAGAGAGAGAGAGAGAGAGAGAGAGAGAGAGAGAGAGUUAAAAAGAAAGAACAUGUUAUUAAUUUAUACUACUUAUAAAAGUAUGAGUUUUGAAUUUUUUUCUCUUUCCAAAAAUACUUCUAUCCUUUUACUAAUAUUUUCAUGUCUAAUAAUUUUUAACCAAUCAUUUCAAAUAAUUUAUAAAAUAAUAAUUCAUUCUCAAAUAAAGAUAUUAAUUUUUUACCAUUAGAUCUUAUCUAACGAUUGAAAAUAAAAGUAUCUGUCACUUUUUGUGACAAUAAUACCCUUACAUUUAUAUCAAAUUUUCUAUCUACGCAUUUCUCAAAUAUUUUCCUUCUCACGCAUAAUAUCCGUACCCAUCAAUCCUUUCUCAACGUAAUAUUUGUAAAUUUAUCAAAUAUCUCAUUAAUCAACCUAUCAUAUACAUCAACCACCUACAUAAUAUCCGGUUAACUUUUCUCACACAUAAUAUCCAUGCGUUUUUCAAAUAUCUCAUCAAAAUUUUAAUCCUUUCACUACAAGAAAUGACAGUAUUGGUGGCAAAAAUAAUGUGGCGACAAAUUUUGUCGCCACUAUAUAGUUACUUAUUGUGGCAAUAAAAAAAAUUGCCACUGAUUAGUUAACUAAAAGUGGCAAUACUACUUUCGCCAUUGAAUGACUAUUUUAUAGCCACUAUUUAGUUAUCUACGGUGGCGAUAAAACAAAUGGCCACCGAUUAAUUAACUUAAAGUGGUGACACUACUUUUGCCACUAAAUAAUUAUUUUGUCGCCACUAUGUAAGGACUGAGAUUUUUUUUUACUGUGCUGCUAAACUCUCUGUUGACGAUGUUUAUAUGUGUAAUUUAAUUACAUAAGCACUUAUCAAGUUUCAGGAGAAACUGGGCUAAAACGGAGAAAUUACGCGAUUUUUAGUUUUCACUUAAGUGAAUAGUAACUCCGGUUUUUCAGUGAAGCCACGGAGUAGAGCUGGCUAUCGGCGUGUACCGGAUUCCGUUCAUAGCGAUCCAAUAGCUCGUUUCGACCGGUUCAGCUGUUCUGGAACUAUUAGCGUUGACGGAUUUUGAGUUUGACGCACGGAUUUCGAGAAAAUCCAAAAAUACGUGUUUUAUAUGUAUUUUGUGCGUAGUUUCUUCUGUUGGAGGGAGGAACGGAUUUCGUUGCGAAUCCGUGAUCGUUCGAGGUGAACCAAAAUCGUAGCUUUGUUGUCUCUGAGGUGCUGAUCGUACUGGUGCGAUCCAGUCGCAAAUCUGAUGGACGGAUCUGCGGAGAUCGCGCGUUGAUCGAGGAUAGGUCGGUGUUGGCAAAACGAUAUUUUCGCAAAAGUCGCGACAUUUUAUGUACCGAAUCGCGUGAAACCGGACGUGGAGGGGUAUCCGCGCGAUUUA